GGUCGCGGGACGCCCCGCCCCCUCCUUGUGCCCCCCACCCCCCCUGAGGGCCCUGGAAUACCCCAGGCGCUGCCCGGCCGCAGACCUCGGCCCCCGGGGGGCUGGAGACGCGGGAGCCCCGGAACACACCGCGGCCGCCCUGGCCCCGCCACCAGCGGGGGAGUCUCUCGGACCUGCGGCGGCCGGUGGUCGCCCCCUCCCACCCCUGCCCGUCCCAGCUGCUGCUGACGAGGACGGGGCUGCGGUCGCCCCUGCUGGUUGAAGGGCAGCAGUGAGGAGUCACCCUGCAGACCCCUGCGACAGAGCAGGUGCGCACCUGGUGGCCUCAGGCCAGGUGGAGACAGAGGCAGAAGGUGCUGCUGGAGGCCGAGCUGACGCCCGAGUCUCCAGGACAACAGGGUGUCGAGUCCCCGAACCCGGGAGACGGCGAGACCUGCAGAGGCCCUGGAACCUGCUGGGCACCAGAAAUUGAAUCAGCAAUUAAGAAUCUUCUAGCACAGCAGCCCCUGAGUCUCAAGCCUUCCUCUGGAAAACGGGCCGAGGAACGCACCAACCUCCUGGGCUGACGUCUGGGUGCGUUCCCAGAGGGGACCUGGCUCGGGGGUCCCUGAAGGUCAAAGGCUUCCAGGAGUGAUUCUUGCAGCCCUCCAUCGCCAAGGGCAACACCCGAACCUCCACAUCCGGGUCCUCCUGGACAAGGAGCAAGGUCAAGCUCGCCUCCCCUCCCCUCCCAGCGCCCUGCUCCCUGCAGGAGCCCCCCAGCAGCCAGAGUCCCGGGCCCUGCCCUCUUGGUGGUGUGUGGAGCCUCCAAAGCUGAGCUUUCCUGGAGUCAGGACAGAGACAGGGAGGGGUGCGGGAGGGAGGUGCUCUCGGUGUUCCCCAAGACUGUGGCAGGGCGGAACUUGGAGCGCCUCCCCCAGGCCUCGUGGGCAGACCCUCCACUUGGGGGGUGAGGGUCUGUCCUAUGAUCUCUGAAUCCUGCGAGGGGACACGCUCAGAUCCCUUCUUCUGAAAACAACUCCGGGCAGUCCUAUGAAAUGUACACUCUACAAAAUGAAGGGCAGCUCCUACAAAAUGCCCCGAAUGCUUUUCCCAGAGUCAGGAGCUGGUGUUGAAUAGUGAGAUGCCCAGGCUCUGGGUAGCUGGAGCAAAAUCCAAGAGAACGGCAGACAGACAGGAAAACUGACACACCUGGGGAGCUUGUGUCAAGGCUGAUCUCAGGCUGCUCUGGAAUCUGGAGUUGGUGCUGGAGAUGUUCGCAGCUCUGGAUGUGGAGCCAUGGCUGCCUUCUCUCUGGAGCGGGCACUGCAGCUGGUUCUGGCUCACAGGGUGCUGCGAGAGUGGACUGCACCUGAUGACACCUGUCACGGAGUGUAUCUGUGGAUUGGUGCAGGAGCGGGCCUGUGAUCUGCCUUUGUCACUUGAAUGGACGCUGCCUUUAGGUCGGGAACUGGCAGCGCAGGAGGCUCUGCCUCUGGAGCUAGCGUCACAGCUGCAGGGCUUGUGCAUUUGAACCGGGGGUGGCACCAGCUGGAGAUUUGCUGCUCUAAGCACAGGCCUUGGUGCUCCAUCUGUUCUUGAUUUGGGGCUGGUGCUAUGGUUGGAACAGAUGCGAGGCAGCUGGGUCUACACUGGCAUUGUUGGUAGAGCUGAUUCGGAAGCUGGUUCUCUGUGUGGACAUGUGCCAUGGUUGUUUUGGAGCUCGUUGUUAUCAGAAGCUGGUGGUGUGUCUAACACUGAAAACAGUAUCCAAACAAAUAAAAAAAAUAGGAGUUUAUAUAUGUAAGGAGGUCCAGGGGUUGUUACGUGUAAACUCCAAUGCACUGAUGAAACAAAGAAGACCUAAAUAAAUGGAAGACAUCCCAUGCUCAUGGAUUGGGAGACUUUAUAUUGAUACAAUGUCAAUAUUCCCCCAAACAAAAAUACAUAUUCAAUGCAAAUCUAACAAAAUCCUGAUGAAUGUUUUUGCAGAAAUGGGCAAGCCCGUAUUUUGUCAAAGAACCCAGAUGUCCCACAGCAGAUGAAUGCAUGAACCAAACGUGGCAUAUCCUUAUCCGGAAAUGUCUUUCAGCCGUGAAGAGUGUGAGGUACACUGACGUGGUGCGAUGUGGUCUGAGCUCAAAGGCGUGCUAAACGGAGGAAGCCAAGCCCAAAGGCCCACGUCUGCACACUCCCACUGACAUAAAACUCCAGAAUGGAUCAUUCCGACAGACGGGAGAUCGUGGCUUCCAGGGGCAGAAGGGGGAGUGAAUGCUUGACGGGGGCAGGAUUUCUGUUUGGGGCGAUGGAAUGUUCUGGAUUGAGAUAAGGAUGAUUGUUGCACAACGUCGUGAAAGAAGCUUCAUAAAGGAAGGACGGUAUUCGAGAGGCUGGUCACAGCCCGGUCCCCUGAGCUGAAGGAAGGUCCGGCCUCACAGCGCGUCGGCCCCUCACUGUCCAGGCCGCCUGCCGUGAUCCGGCCCCGGCUGCACUGUUGUCGGGAGGCGACGCAGGACUUAGGAAACAGAGUAACAGCUGCAGCGAAGACGGGAGCAGGGGACUCAGAGCCUAGUUGGCAGAGCGCCUCCGCUUGUUGCACGUCGUAUUUGUUAGCUUCAUUUUAUCGCAGGAAGUAGAGGAGUUACUAACAGGCCGGAGAAGGCAGGAUAGGGACGUUAGCAAGAUACGGAGUCAGGGACAGGCCAUUCGAGACUUGCACGCUCCUUGCAUAAACAAUGCGGGUGCUGCCCCGGACAGUGCUCCAUCCGGGCAGGACUCGGUGUUCCAAUGUCCACACCCUUGCAUAUGUCAAGGACGCAUUCCAAGCUCAGGCCAUUUGCCCACACUGCACCUGAGAAGUGGAGCUUCCUCUGGGGCCUGGACUGGCUCGAGCUCGUCCACCACUUCCCCCGGGGAUGGUGCUGCUGGAGCCGGGGUGGUGCUGCUUCCUUCUCCGUAGCUGGCCCUGCAGCUGGCUCAUGCUCCUCACCUGUGCUAACGUUGGCAGCAGGUGUGGGGGUGCCCCGAGAAGUGGCCACAGGCCUGGCUGCACCUCUCCAGGAGUUGCCCUGCCUGGUGCUGGGAUGGCAGCAGGAGCUGGCGUUUGCAAUGUUGACACUGGAGCUGGAAGAGGAGGAGUGUCCCCCAACAAGCCUGCCUCUCUGGGGGGCUUCUCCAAGCAGAAAUAUCCCCAAGCCUGGCAGAAACCCAAGCCCACACCCACCAGCCCCAAACCAGGAGGGACCAUGGACAGAGGUCCACCGGAUGACUGGAAUGAGGCUCCUCUUGGCUCCUGGCCCCACCAGCCCUGAGGCUCCUCCCUGGGUGCCCCCAUGUCCUCCCCUCGGGCUCACAGGCACCUGCUGAAGUCCUCUUACCCCCUGGUGUGGCCUCCAUUGACUCAAGGUGGGCACAGUCCUGCAGCUCCCAUCCCAGGGUGGUAAUUUGCCUGUAGCCCCCCAGCACCUUGAGGCCAGGGGACCACAGUGGCUGAAAGAAGUUCCCCGUGGCCUGGUCAGGUUAUGAGAGGGAGCAGAUGGUGCUGGGGGAGGAGCACGGGCAGCAGGUCAGCGGUGCCCACCUCCAGUCCUCCUCACCCUCUGCCUUGGCCUCCACUGGGUGAAGAACUUUGGGCCCAGCACAGCUGCGGCGAGAACAUUCACCCACAGGAAGCCAACCUGGGCCGUGAGGCUGGCAGUGACCGGGGCUGAACCAGGUGCCCCCCGGUUGGUCCAUCCACCUUCUGACCAUGGGUGACAUGACCUGGAGGGAGGAGGUGGACAGAUCAGAGGCCUGGGCUUCCUUCCCAACGUCCCCUCCAAUGAUGUUCCUGUGGGGGGGGAUUUUGGGGUCUCCUGUGCCUGCCCCUGCCCAUCCUGAAGCCCCCACCCCACAUGCCAUCCCCUCGCUGGUAGUCCUGGCAGUUACCAACUGGUCACCAAAAGGGGAGUGGUGCAGAGGUUCAAUCAUAGGGGGCUCAUGGUCAAUCAUCUGAACAAAUCUCCCCUACUUCAGGGACCCCUGACCCACAUCUGUCUGCCUCUCUCCCCUGCCCCCUCCCCUCAAGCACGUGGGCUCCAGGAGGGAGGGAGGGGAGACGCUGGUGCUGCUUGUUGCACUAACACGAGUCUGUGCUCCCUGCUGGAUGUGGUCCCCCACCCCAGCCUUCCCAGGGCCCUCACUGCACCUCAGCCUCAAGCUCGUGCACCAAGUGCUGCCUUAACGCUCUGCGCCUGAGGGGGUCCCAUCCUCUGACACCGUCCUUCUGGCACAGCCUGGCCCCCCAUGCCUGCAGCUCAGCACCAACUGAGGACCCAGGCAGAUGGGGGAGCAGGAUGCUCACCACCGCCCCCGCCUCGGACCGUGGAUCUCGGGUUGGAGGCGAGAAAGGGGGCAGGUCGACCACGAUGGGGUGACGGAGGGAGGUAGGAAUCGUCAGCUGCUCCUCCCACCUACUGCCCCCUCCCCACAUUUCCCAUCGACUCCGGAGGAAGGAGCCCCUCGUUCUUCACCCAGAGCCCACUCACAUGUUCAGCUGGUCCCGGCGUCGGCCACACUCGUGAUAAGGCAUAAGGAGCCAUCCCUGGAGGGGACAUGAGGACGUCACAUCUGACGUGCUGUGCACUCUCCCUGCCCCUGCGGCUGUGGGUCACUCUCUGACACCCCCAAUGGAAAGGAAGCCCAGGAGGAUGGGAUAUUUUUCUGCUUUAUUCCCCCGAUCAUGCUAAAUUUAGGAAUGUCCUGCACAUAGUAGGCACAUGUGCUGGUUUGAAUGUAUUUAAAUGUCCCCCAGAAAAAGCCAUAUUCUUUGAUGCAAUCUAGUGGGAAUUAAGUUGUAAUGUUUGGAUUAGGUUGUUU